GGUUCCUACGGGACGCAGCAGUGAGGAAUAUUGGUCAAUGGGAGAGAUCCUGAACCAGCCAAGCCGCGUGAGGGAAGACGGCCCUAUGGGUUGUAAACCUCUUUUGUCGGAGAACAAAACCCGGGACGAGUCCCGGACUGCGUGUAUCCGAAGAAAAAGCAUCGGCUAACUCCGUGCCAGCAGCCGCGGUAAUACGGAGGAUGCGAGCGUUAUCCGGAUUUAUUGGGUUUAAGGGGUGCGUAGGAGGUCCGUGAAGUCA
rnacentral:rRNA from 1 species